rnacentral:rRNA from 1 species
AGAUUGAACGCUGGCGGCAGGCCUAACACAUGCAAGUCGAGCGGCAGCACGGGUACUUGUACCUGGUGGCGAGCGGCGGACGGGUGAGUAAUGCCUAGGAAUCUGCCUGGUAGUGGGGGAUAACGCUCGGAAACGGACGCUAAUACCGCAUACGUCCUACGGGAGAAAGCAGGGGACCUUCGGGCCUUGCGCUAUCAGAUGAGCCUAGGUCGGAUUAGCUAGUUGGUGAGGUAAUGGCUCACCAAGGCGACGAUCCGUAACUGGUCUGAGAGGAUGAUCAGUCACACUGGAACUGAGACACGGUCCAGACUCCUACGGGAGCAG